rnacentral:rRNA from 1 species
UACGUAGGUGGCAAGCGGUGUCCGGAAUUAUUGGGCGUAAAGCGCGCGCAGGCGGUCUCUUAAGACUGAUGUGAAAGCCCCCGGCUCAACCGGGGAGGGUCAUUGGAAACUGGGAGACUUGAGUACAGAAGAGGAGAGUGGAAUUCCACGUGUACCGGUGAAAUGCGUAGAUAUGUGGAGGAACACCAGUGGCGAAGGCGACUCUCUGGUCUGUAACUGACGCUGAGGCGCGAAAGCGUGGGGAGCAAACAGG